CGCGCGCGCCCCGCGCCGGUCCCGCCGCCCCCGCCCGGGGGAAUCUUCCGCAAUGGGCGAAAGCCUGACGGAGCAAUACCGCGUGAGGGAGGAAGGCUCUUGGGUCGUAAACCUCUUUUCUCAAGGAAGAAAGAAAUGACGGUACCUGAGGAAUCAGCAUCGGCUAACUCCGUGCCAGCAGCCGCGGUAAUACGGAGGAUGCAAGCGUUAUCCGGAAUGAUUGGGCGUAAAGCGUCCGCAGGUGGCUCUUCAAGUCUGCUGUCAAAGCCCCCAGCUUAACUGGGUAAGAGGCGGUGGAAACUGCUGAGGCUAGAGUGCAAUAGGGGUAGAGGGAAUUCCCGGUGUAGCGGUGAAAUGCGUAGAGAUCGGGAAGAACACCAGUGGCGAAAGCGCUCGUACUAGCUGGCAACUGACACUGAG
rnacentral:rRNA from 1 species